AUUGUCCAGGGGCAAACUUCACCGAAAGGGAGGGGCGCAAAGCCACGGGCCUAAAGCGGACUCCCGCUAAGGCAGCCGGGUUGCGACA
rfam:Desulfotomaculum kuznetsovii DSM 6115, complete genome.